UACGAAGGGGGCGAGCGUUGUUCGGAUUUACUGGGCGUAAAGGGCGCGUAGGCGGCCCUCCUAGUCGCGUGUGAAAGCCCCGGGCUCAACCUGGGAAUUGCAUUUGUGACUGUACGGCUAGAGUGUGUCAGAGGGGGGUAGAAUUCCACGUGUAGCAGUGAAAUGCGUAGAGAUGUGGAGGAAUACCGAUGGCGAAGGCAGCCCCCUGGGAUAACACUGACGCUCAUGCACGAAAGCGUGGGGAGCAAACAGG
rnacentral:rRNA from 1 species